CGCCUGGCGGCGUUGGCGCGGAAGGGCAGCGGGGCGCCGCGGCUGUUGGCCUCCUGGUUGUGACAGACGCCACCUCAACAGCAUGGCUUUACGCAUUCUUCAUAAGCGUCAUUAUCUGCUUCCUUUUUAUUUAUUUAUUUAUUUCCCCUCACCAGUGCGCUGGGGAGCAGCAGGGAUAGAAGUGACUCUCCCCUCCGCUGUGGUUACGGGAUGCCAAUGACUUCCAUGGGAUGGCAAUGAUUUCAAUACAUGUAGCACCCAGAGGUCCUGCUGCCACACUGCCCUGUGGUGACACAACAACCUUUUUGCCUCUUCUCUACGCACUUCCCCUUCCCCAUCUGCACCCGACUGCAGCCUACAGAAGGAUUCAGAGACGCUUUUGAACACAGGCCUGUGCUACGCCAACUCCUUCGUGCAGCACUGCACAAGGCUCAUAGAUCAGAACAUCCAGAAGUCAGACUCGCUCCUCUCGCCUGUUACCCAUUCUUGUGCAAUUCUUCCUGAUCCGCAAGGCAAGAAGCAGAAGCUGGCUGCAGUUCCUUCGCUGGACUCUCUCUGGCAUGGGAAAGUGUCAGUGGGUGGGAGGGCUGGAACAGCCACUCCUAGGGCUACUUCCAAAGCCAUGCACACAGAGAUAGGGAGAUGACGGGGACCAGAAGCGACAUGUGGGGAGGACGGCACGCUGUGGCUAUCCCACCUGGUGCCCAGGCCAUCGCAGCCAGCUGCCAGAUGACACAGACCCGGGAGCUGUUCUCACAUGCCAGUGCUCACCACCAACAUGUCCUAACUGCUUCCCAUGGUGCUCAACGCAGGAUGAGAGCAGCUGAAUAAAAAGUAAUUGUAAAGCCUAGCAUGCAGCCUUUAAAGUUUUUAAUGAAGAAUCUUGUAAUUCUUCACCAUGGCCCAUUCUCCUGCCAACCUCCCUAAGAUUGCCUUUGGUUUCUGCUGUCCCUGGCAGUACGCAGCACUAAGUUCCAGCUAUCUGGCCCCAGCUUCAGGACCACUGAAGAGUUCUUCUUGUUCAGAAAUUUCUGAAAUCGGUAACCACCAGUCUGUUCCUGGGAACUCCUGGCACUUGUCAGAGUUCCUUAAAAGGGUCAGAUUUCUGUUCUCCCAACCCUUUUUUUCAAAGUGCAGACACUCCAGAAAAAAAAAAGAACACCUGUCCUGUAACAAACUCAUCAAGCAAGGAGAUACAGUUAUGUAGGAAAUGUCAGAUGACUAUGAAGAACUUCUGGAAAGCUAGUGGACAGCAACUUCUCUGUCUGUUUUUCAACGGGCUACUAUAAAACUGCUCAGAAAUAAAGCCCACAUCUUCCUGGUCAGAUGGCUUCAACGUGCACUUUGCAACAUGGGGCUGGAGCCUACAGCUUCUGCUUUUCCACUGGCAUUUGUGUGCACUCAGACACUCUCCUUUUCUUUCUUUUGUAGCCCUCAUUGCAACAUUGCUCCACUUAAAUUUGCUCUGACCUCCAAUUCACUCUGGAAAAUUUUCCAUGCAGCAGGGGAAGGUAUUUUGCUCACACAGUCCCCACCGGCUGCAGGCAGGGGUGCCAUCUCCAGGUGUUGCUUCUACAGCACUGGGUAGGGCAAAGAGCAACAUGGAGAUAAAGUGGGGAUUGAGCAACCUGGCACUGCAAAGGCCAAGCGUGCUAGGUCAGAGCAGUGGAGAACAGCACGUGGAAAGCAACAGGUCGGAAUCGAGCCUCUGCCAGGUACAACUUACGAGUUGGUGCUGGUGUAAGGUGCACGGCUGUAUGAAGAGGGACCUGGGACUGGGAACAAGGAGAAAACAGAGCACACAGAGUGUUCAGAAAUAGAUUUCAAUUUUACUUCUCUUUUUCACAGUCUUCAUUGCAACAUUGCUCCACUUACGUCAAACUUUCAGGCAAGGCCACAUCUCACCCCAAGGUCUCCCAUAGCAGCCCUGUGCUCCCCCAGCCUGCCCACAUGCACGGACACCACUGCUCUCAUUCUCCUCUCCAACUCACCUCCAGCACACUACCAGCAGCACCUUGUUCAGUGAUGCAACUGUUGACUUCUGGCAUUAUCUUCUUUAAUCUUUGCCCCUCUUCUGCCUCUCCAUGCUUUGCAUUGGGCUGCAGUGAGGGGCUGUGUCCACACAGCGUUUAGCAUGAUGCACCUCUGAUCUCACUGAUCUGCCAGGAGAUACUGCAAGGCAAACAACAUGCAAGACGAGUCUUCAGCAAGAGGCAUCUAAAAUUAUAGACAGCCUUUUUCUAGAGUACAAACCCUCAGCCCACAGAUUUUCUUACAAAAUCUUCAGUGUUUGAUCUGUGACCAUUACAUUAAUAGCAUCUCCCUAAAGCUAGUGUCCUUCCAGGACAGCUGCUAUAGACCUGCAGUGUGGGAAUUGGAGAGCCUGCUGGAAAUCCUGGAAAAGAAGACAAUUUUCAGGAAUAAUGUGUCUCUGCAACGUCUUAUCAUAGGUCUGAGCCUGCAGCUGGAAAGCUGUGUCUUUCUACAGUGUAAAAGGGAAAAUGUAGAGCAGAAUUUAAUUCAUGACAGAAAAGAGUGGUGAAGAUGAGAUUCUUCCCUCCACUUUUUCCCCCUUCCCACAUUCUUGUCUUACCCCUCCACUAUCUAUCUUCUUUCACACAUGAAUAAAGAGGAAUCUGGAUUUUAUUGCAUCAGAUUUUUUUUUUUCCCUAGGGAAUGUAGAUGUUCUCACUAAGUAAUUUGUGAAUAAUGCUAUCUCCUCCCCCAGCUGAAAAAUUAAAUCAUGAAAUCACCAGAAAGAAGGCGCUUUUCAGAGAAACGCUGCCUUUCUGCUGAAAUUUGCUGCCAGGAGAACUGUAAAGGAACCAAUUGCUGCUGCUCCUGAGUUUUUCAUCGGGUGAUCCCUUCACCAGGAACACCCACAUCUCUUUUCCUAUCUCUCUAUGGAGAAGACUUUCCAGGACAGUUUGCAGCCUCUGUACAUCAGGCCAGGCCAGGCCAGGCCAGGCCGAGCCGUGGCACUGACAGGGAUGGAGCUCGGUGUGCCAAGACCUCCACCCAACUCUGUGCUGCAAGCUUUGCUCUACGCCCCUUUCCAUUUCAAAAGCCCCAUUUCUGGCCAUGCAUUUGUUAUGACAAGUGCAGAAACAAUUUAAAAGAGACCAGAGUUAGCUCAAAACCUGCUUGCUGAAUGUUAGGGCUUUGGAUAAGUGGUUAGUCUCGCCAACAAGGUUCCCAUGAGAAGCUGAGAGCUCCAUGAGAGUGGAUGCUGGGAUUUGAGGUGAGCUGGAGGAAGUUUAAAGAGAUCCCAGCAGAGCAGGGAGGUGAGGGGGGAGCAGGGAAGGAGGGGACCAGCUGGGCAUCCAACCUCAAUUACCACUCCAGCUGACGUGUGAUCCCAGUGACUAUGGGAUUACUCAGCACUGGCCUGGAAAAGGAGGUGUGGGCCACACCAUCUCUGAUAUAAUCUAUUUCACAUGACAAUUGCGCAGACAUUUUGUUUUGUUAGGGAAGAUCAGCCUGGGUGGGAGCACAGCUUUCGGAUGCUGAGCAGCAGAGAAUAGGGCAGAAAUUUGGAGAGGGCAAAUUCAGGUCUCUGAGAAUAUCUUUAAAAAAAUGCCCAAGAAAUGUAACUGAUGGGUUGCAGGGCCCUGGUUCAGCCAAUGGCUGUGGCAAGACGUUGGAGACCUGUCAGGAUCAUGCCAAGAAACACCAGAGCCAUUGCAGCAGGUGGCCGUGGCAGGAGACCUUCUCCUUAUGGGUUCCUGAGAUGUUUGGAGGUAGGAAGCACAUGAGGCUGAAUUUCAAGAGUUCAGUUGCAAGGGCCAGUUAGGGCAGCUGCUGGAUGCAACCGCCAGAUCAGAACUCAGGAUAAGGACACAGCGCAACAGAGAAAACAGCCAGGAGAACAAGCCCUGGCUCACUGAGACUUGUCAGUAUUUGCACCCAACACAGAUGUUUGUAUUUAUGAAGGUAUGGGCUCCAACCUCCAGACCCAGACCUCUGGCCAGGCCCAGCUCCAAUUUAAUCUCCGAUGCAUUCACCAAAGAUUAACUUGGAGAUAAAGACAGAACUAGAAAUAUUUGAAGCCCAAAAACCUGCUGGGGUACUUUUGUUAUGGAAAGCAAAACCCUCUUGAAAUGUGCAAAGGAAAUGUAAACAUAAAAAUACAAGAAAGAUCCAGUGAUCCACUGACAUAUUUCUGAAUUCUUCCCCUUUUCAAAGUUCUGAGGUUUGAACAUUAUGAACAGUUGACUGUUUGAAUCGUAUAAUGCAAUACCUGUUCCUCUGGCUUAACGUUACCAUAUUUCCCACACCGCAGGAUUGCUUCACAUUAUUCUAAGAGGCAGUGUCAUUUUCCCUGCAGUGCUGGGUCUUCUUUACUGAGGCGAAGGACACUCCUACUUCCUUUAAUUAUAUGUUUUGUUUUAAAUUAAUGUCCUUUAUUCUGAGGAUGAAUCACCAGCUUGUAGACAGGUAAAUGUGGGAGUAAGAGAGUGAAAAUAAAGUUUGAUUCCCAAGGUGGGUGUCUUUAAUUAAAACGGACAUCGAGAUUCCGUCUUCCUUCCCAAACUUACCCCGUGAUUCUGAAAAUGCCUGGAUUCCAUGGUUCUGAGCACGUAUCUCACUCUCUUUCAGGAAUGCCUUUAAACACGGUCCCCUCUGGCUUCAGAGCGCAGAUUCCCUGUCGCCUUUGUACCCUGACAGUUGCACCGUAUCGUGCAAAGUAAAUACACCAAGGCAAACUUCAGUCACCGUUCCCGCAUGCAGAGAUGGGGAGCGGAGCUCGGCUCUGACUGCUCGCGGCCGUCAAGAAGGAAGCCGGGAGUGCACGGUGCCCCGCUCCAAACUGCGCUCACUUGGCUCUCCGCUUGCUCUUGUAAAAUGGUUCUGCACACGUCUGUAUGGGACGGUUCUGCCUGCCAGUGCGGUUUACUCAAUCAGGCACUGGACGGAGAAUAAGAGGAUCUGUCUUCUAUUUGCAGCUUUUUCCCCCUGCUUUGGCAAAAGAGCUUGGAAAAACGCCUUCUGCCUCGAUUUCCCCAGGGGUAAAACGCGACCCAGACGGGUUUUGCACCCAAUUCUGCGCGGCACACGCAGCCCCACAGCGCCAACCCUUCCUCUCAGACGCAAAAGGCCCGGCCUUGCACUGGCAAAAGGGCAGCGGCGGCGCCCCGCAGCCGUGUCCCGGUCCCGCAGCCGCUCCGGGCCGAGCGGUGCCCGCGUUCCCUGCAGUCGAGGGACCAGGACGGGACGUGAGAUCUCGGCAGCCUCGCUGCCGGCGGCGGCGGCUUCGUGCG
ensembl:lncRNA